CAUGUGAUUCCAGAGAUGACAGGCUGCACUACAGACCCCCUCACCAACAGGAAGCAGCUCUCAGAGAAAGUAUCCAUGGAUUAAAAAGAUUUGUGGAGAGAAACCAGCGGUGUGCCUAAUCUGUACAGUCACAGAUGAAUAACACCACAGCAUCAUCUCAUACACAUCGCCUGCAAGAGAGUGGGUCUUGAGAGUUGAAUCAAUGCUGAACACUUUAUUUAGAUUGCAAAUUAUCUCGCUACCUCAGCAGACUGCGAAAUCAACUGGAAGCUUUUCAGCAUUUAAUUAAGGAGGACAAAAGAAAGUCCCAAUAAUAACAGUGUGAAACUGCCACAGAAAAAUUAUGAAUACAAAGGGAGAAAUCAUCAGUAAUUAACCCCAAUCUGAGACUACAGAGGAGACUCCAAAACAAGAGGGGAGCACAUGAAAAUAAUACUAAAUUUACUUGUCUUGAAUAGAUAUAACAGAUUUUUCCCUAAGAUGGCCAACAGGACUGAAAGGGAAAUUCCAGUCCUUGGCUGAAGACUCCCCUCCGGGGUUCUUCUUCCCACCCCGCUUGCUGCGCGUGCCAAAUUACUACUAAUACAGAAUGCGGAAGUAACAUACUAGAAAUUGUUCCUUCUGCUUACGUGGGGGCUCAGACUUCGGGAGAGUGAUCUCCUCUGAACCCACCUGUGUGAAAUAAACCUCCUGCCUUCCAAGAUCUCCAAGUGCUGCCUGGUUCUUCUGCCGGGUGAUCCAGAUCAGAUUCCAUAACAUUUGGUUCCCCAGAAACCCAACUGCACUGGCCCAUUGUUGCCACUGGUUUGGGAAAACAGCGAGGCAGUGAUGCAAUGAGGAGUCACAACAGAGAAGGCGCACCCUGUCUGAUAUUUGGCAGUCUCUGGCUUGGUCGCCUCAGGCCAGCCCCACUCCGCCAUUCCCACUGGACUCAAGGAGACUUGGCAGGUGAGGACCGGGACCCAACAUCGGAUACCGGGAAGAUGGCUCAUUCCCAGCAGACAGAAGGGGAGAGCUUCAGGAGAUAAAUAUUAAAUCAACCCUACAAACACGUGCUGCUUAUUCAAGCUGAUGUCUGUUCCUCUGUCUCACAUUCACACAGUGUAUGAACAGAGGCACCAAUCCCAGGACACUAAAGGCAUUGAUCAUACCGAGCCAUCAAUCUCUUGCACUUUAUUCCCAAUCAUUGUACAAACAUUGUUGUACUUCUGCUUCACGGAUUCUCAAAUACAUAUUUGAUGACACUACUCCUUGAGCAUUGAGAAAACAGUCUCUGAUUCUUAAGGCACUUUGAUUGUAUUAUUCACUUAUCCACUUAUCCAUCCUUCAGUCACUGUCUGCUUUACUGAUAAUGUGCUUGACAUUGGGGAUUUAAAGUAAAACAUAGUCUCUGACUCCAAAGUGUUUUCAGGAUAGUGGAGGUGACAGACAUGUUAAGAUAUAAGAGGAAUAAAUUAUCAUAGGGUCUGUCA
rnacentral:lncRNA from 1 species